AGAGGAAGCAUAAAGACCAGGUGAAAGGGAGAGAAAGGGGAGAAGAGAGAGAGAGGAAGCAUAAAGACCAGGUGAUAGGGAGAGAAAGGGGAGAAGAGAGAGAGAGGAAGCAUAAAGACCAGGUGAAAGGGAGAGAAAGGGGAGAAGAGAGAGAGAGGAAGCAUAAAGACCAGGUGAUAAGGAGAGAAAGGGGAGAAGAGAGAGAGAGGAAGCAUAAAGACCAGGUGAAAGGGAGAGAAAGGGGAGAAGAGAGAGAGAGGAAGCAUAAAGACCAGGUGAUAGGGAGAGAAAGGGGAGAAGAGAGAGAGAGGAAGCAUAAAGACCAGGUGAUAGGGAGAGAAAGGGGAGAAGAGAGAGAGAGGAAGCAUAAAGACCAGGUGAUAGGGAGAGAAAGGGGAGAAGAGAGAGAGAGAGAGGAAGCAUAAA